UGCUCAUCCAGAGGGGUGGAGGGACCGGCCCUGCGAAGCCCCGGCAACCAUCUCGUCAUGUGGACACGCGUUCGUGUCCCGGUCGAGGCAGGUGCCAACUCCGGCCUGGGGUCAAGGUGGCCACCAGGAAAGAUGAGGG
rfam:Nocardiopsis alba ATCC BAA-2165, complete genome.